GGAAUCUUCCACAAUGGACGCAAGUCUGAUGGAGCAACGCCGCGUGAGUGAAGAAGGGUUUCGGCUCGUAAAGCUCUGUUGUUAAAGAAGAACAUAUCUGAGAGUAACUGUUCAGGUAUUGACGGUAUUUAACCAGAAAGCCACGGCUAACUACGUGCCCG
rnacentral:rRNA from 1 species